UACGAGGGGGGCGAGCGUUGUUCGGAAUUAUUGGGCGUAAAGGGUGCGUAGGCGGUUUGGUAAGUCUUGUGUGAAAUCUACAGGCUCAACUUGUAGUCUGCACGAGAAACUGCCGGGCUUGAGUAUGGGAGAGGUGAGUGGAAUUCCUGGUGUAGCGGUGAAAUGCGUAGAUAUCAGGAGGAACACCUGUGGCGAAGGCGGUUCUCUGGGCCUUACCUGACGCUGAGGAGCGAAAGCGUGGGGAGCGAACAGG
rnacentral:rRNA from 1 species